CUGGGGGCGAUGGACUUAAUGUUUAGGAUUAUUUUGGAAGAUUGAUUUUAGCUGCUCAAGAAAUUUUUUCUAGUUGUUUCUAUCCCAUAAGCUGAGCUCUGAGCAGCUUGGGAAGAGCUCGUUAAUGUGGUCUCCAUAUUGCGUUGCAGAAAGUCAUUUUGAAGGAUGGUUCUGCAACAAUGGUUUUAUGGAUUUCAGAUGUUUUUCUUUAUAGAUGUUCUCUCUCUCUCUCUUAAUGGAUUUGUUUCACCUGAUUUCCACUCUCGAGUUCUUCCAAGUGUGCCAUAUUUAUAAAGAGACAAAUCAAGUGGCUAUUUGGCGGGCGGGUUCCGAUUCAGUGAUCAAUCUUCAGGUUGGAGUCUUUAUUUCUUCGAAUCUUUCUCUUCUUCUGAACUUGCUUCAGGAGUUUGUCUUUUUUCUUUUGUCGUUACUG
rnacentral:lncRNA from 1 species